AUUUUCCCAAUAACAUUCAUCAUCAGAAACCAUUAGUGUACCAAUACCAAUUUUUAGACAAUCUGGAUCGUCCUCUGGUAAGUCCUGACAUUCUUCUAAUGUUAAUUGUUGCCCAAUAUGGGGAUGUCUUUUUGCAAUUGCAUAUUCAGUUUGACAAAGUUCAUUUUCUAAUAUUUCACAAUCUUGUUUACACACACGUCGCAGUAUUGUAGAAUUAUAGCGAUAAUUAAAUAUAUUUUCUGAAACAUUUUUCAGAUUGAUCGGUAAAGGUAAGUAAUCAGAUCCAGAAUCAUAAACUGAUUUGGGUAAACCUUGAGUUUCUGGGUUUUCCAAUUGUUGUUUAUUGCUUGCCAAGGAUUUUAUUAUAAUUUUUUUCACUUCUUUUAAAAAGUUUUCAUUAGUUAUAAUCGGAUUUCGACAUAUUGGAAAAGUGGAGUAGCAAAGACUGGGAAGAGCAAAGUUUUCACAAUUGGAACUUAUAUCAUUUGAAUAUUUCGUCACUUGAAAAGCUUUCAUAAGUUUAUUUUCAAGGGAACUUUGCGAUAUGUUAUAAGGAAUAUAGACAAACUGUCCCUUCAAAUGAGAACUACAGACAUUCCCUAUAUAUUCUUGACAUAUCGGCUCUAACUUUCUCGGAGUAGUAACAUUAUUAGAUUUAGUUUUAUUUAUUUCAGCUGUCAUGUCUUCAGAUAUUAAAUUGGGAGUUGUUCUAAUUUCCACAACUAUCUCAUUAUCACUGCCUGUAGUUGGAAAUCCUGCUGAAUUAGUUGAUAAAUUGUUAUUAUCAAACUUUUCAAUAUCUUUCUCAAUAGUAAGCCUUGUAGAUAACUUUUUCUCAUAAUUUUGUUUAAUAACACAAGUAUAAAUUCCAGCAUCAUCCAUAGUUAAAUUUUUUAAUCUAAGAUUUGUACCAAUAGUUCCAUUGGUUUUAUCAAUUUUAGUUUGAAUUUUUGUCCUUGUAUUAUCUGACAAUGCCUUAUUAUCUUUCAGCCAAUAUACUUUAACAUUUUUCAUUAAAGUUUGUUGAAUAUGGUCUGGAGGAAAUUCUUUUAAAGAUGUUUCUACACCCUCCCUGUUUUUAGUAAAUUUUUCAACUUUAGUAAAAUUCAUUAUCGCUUCACAUUUAAAGCGAGCAUCGGUGCCGAGUAACUUUUGUAAAACAGAAGGAAGUGUUUUAGCGAAAUAAAUAUCAAGUUUUAUGUUCCAUACUUUCUGUUCUGGCGCACUUGAUUUAUGCAGUGAAAUUGAAUCAGUUUUAUUAAAAAUGGAUGAAUGACUUUCAUGAAAGACGAUAAAAACAAUAAAUAUACAAAAGUAUUGCAUGACUGGUAUAUCCCAUAACACCUUUGAAAAAUACCUUUUCUUAUAAUGAAAUGCUCUAAGAUUACAUGUUUAGUGCCAAAUCAACAAAUACUUAUCUUAUUCUUUUUAUAGGCUCAACAAUAGAAUUUCUACCUAUAACUUGGCUGUGAAAUAAUGUUAUUUACUUUAUCAACGUUAAAUGGAUCAUGACAUGACCAAAGAAUAAGAAAAUAUAGAGGUAGUCACAGAGCAAUU
rnacentral:misc_RNA from 1 species